UAUUCACAUUUACCUCCCUCUUUUUGUUUCAUCAUGGAGCUUCAUCACAUUUUGCUUUCCACACAGGGUUAAUAAAGUUGUGUGUUGUAACGGCUGAUCUCUCUUUUCUUUCACAGGCAGGAUGAAACCCCCUCUAAAUGUAAAUUUAAAAGCAACAGAGUAAUCACAUCAGAUGACUCUUCAAAUUCAGAUGACAUCCCACCCUGUUCAGAAACAUUUGCACCGUUAGAGAUGGAUAUAGAAGAAAGUGCAAGCUUUGUCCAGGAGCCUCAGCUGAACAGGAAAGACCUCGAGAGACCCUCUCAAACAGUCCUCACUUUCGGUUCUCAGACCUGCACCAGCGUGACUGAAGUCCACAAGAUCGGUUGAUUGGACAUGAUUUGAAAGGGUAAACACCUGUAUGAAAGGUCUCCCUGCUGAUGAUGCAUAUCAGAGCAAAAAUCCUCGUGUGGAUGGAUGUACCUGAUAGGAACAAAAAAAACACCCUUCAAGGUAAACUAUGCAGGAAUUGUUGGUUCCAGUUUGUUUUCAGUGUAUAGCCAACAAACGUGAGGUUCAACCUGAGAUUCAGUCUUGUUUUGAAAUAAGCCUCUCUGUUUGGAGAUUCACCUGGCUCCAUUUUUAUUUUUUGCUGGGCUGUUUCUACAGUUUUGUUCAUAGCUUUCGUAUUAUAAACAUGCUGCUUAACAGUCUGAAUGUGCUGCUACAGUUUUUUGUUUUUAAAGUCUCAGCCUCACCUCUGAGCUGUAGCCAGGAACAUCCUGAACACUGCAAAAUAAAAGAUGAAAAUACAGGCAGAGGGCAGAGUCUCUGCAGGUAAAUACACUGCCACACACUUCUAUGGGAUCAUAAGUAAUUAUUGAGAGGGAUUAUAUCUGUAUUAGUCUAUACAUGUAUUUAAGGAAAGUCCUGCUUAAUAUACCUUUAAAGUGCAAUGCCUUCCACACCAAGACUUAUUCCAGCUUGCUGUC